UGGGGAAUAUUGCACAAUGGGCGAAAGCCUGAUGCAGCGACGCCGCGUGAGGGAUGACGGCCUUCGGGUUGUAAACCUCUUUCAGCAGGGACGAAGCGCAAGUGACGGUACCUGCAGAAGAAGCACCGGCUAACUACGUGCCAGCAGCCGCGGUAAUACGUAGGGUGCAAGCGUUGUCCGGAAUUACUGGGCGUAAAGAGUUCGUAGGCGGUUUGUCGCGUCGUUUGUGAAAACCAGCAGCUCAACUGCUGGCUUGCAGGCGAUACGGGCAGGCUUGAGUACUGCAGGGGAGACUGGAAUUCCUGGUGUAGCGGUGAAAUGCGCAGAUAUCAGGAGGAACACCGGUGGCGAAGGCGGGUCUCUGGGCAGUAACUGACGCUGAGGAACGAAAGCGUGGGUAGCGAACAGG
rnacentral:rRNA from 1 species